rnacentral:tRNA from 1 species
UAGCUCAGCUGGUAAAGAACCUGCCUGCAAUGCAGGAGACCCAGGUUUGAUUCCUGG